rnacentral:sRNA from 1 species
CUUGUCUGUCUCCCAGAUGUGUGGAGUGCUUGCUCCAGACCUGGCACAGGGCCUGGCAGGGAGUAGAUGUUGCUGAUGUUUGUUGGGUGACCAUAUCAAAUGGGAUUCUCUCACUGAAAGCAAUAAAAUUUGGCUCUGGCUAACCUAAGGCAAAAAGAAUGUUUUUAAGAGUGUGCAGUGGCUCGCUGAAUGAAAGGAAAAGCUGAAGAACCAAGCUCAGAAAGGGAAGGAGCAGAAAAAGCCCAAGAACCCAGGUCUCAGGACUGUACUGCUGGGAUAUUAACAUGAUCUAAGCUGUAGGGCCCAGCAAAGAGAGGCAAGCUGGCCCAGAUGGACUGAUAGGCCUGCCACGCCCCCUUGCAUCUUGAAAGAGCAAGGCAUCUAUAAUGAUGUAUACACCAUGGCUGUACCCAGGGAAGAAAUGUCUCCCUAAAAGGAAUCAUGUAAAGCAAGGGGAAAGAUGGUGGGUGGUCCCCAGACAGACUGUCCUCUACCAUGACUCUUCUGUCUCUGGUGCAGAUGCCUCCGAGAUGUAGCUCUCCUACAAUGGGGCCACCUCCAUUGCCACAGAAAUCACUGGAAACCAGGGCUCAGAAAAAGCUCUCUUGUAGUCUAGAAGACUUGAGAAGUGAAUCUGUGGAUAAGUGUAUGGAUGGGAACCAGCCCUUCCUGGUGGUAGAACCCAAGGACAGCCCUUUCUUGGCGGAGCACAAAUAUCCCACUUUACCUGGGAAGCUUUCAGGAGCCACGCCCAAUGGAGAGGCUGC